rnacentral:rRNA from 1 species
GCGCAGCAGUCGCGAAAACUCCGCAAUGCCCGAAAGGGUGACGGGGGGAUUCCAAGUGCCUACGCUUAGCGUAGGCUGUUCAGGUGCCUAAAAAGCACCUGGAGGAAGGGCUGGGUAAGACGGGUGCCAGCCGCCGCGGUAAUACCCGCAGCCCGAGUGGUAGUCGCUUUUAUUGGGCCUAAAGCGUCCGUAGCCGGUCUGGUAAAUGCCUGGGUAAAUCGUGGGGCUUAACCUCACGAAUUCCGGGUAGACUGCCAGACUUGGGACCGGUUGAGGGAGAGGGGUACUCCAGGGGGUAGGGGUGAAAUCAGCAAGGUAAGCUGAUGUAACUUGCCUUGCAAGUCACAAUCCUGUAAUCCUUGGAGGACCACCGGUGGCGAAAAGCGCUCUCCUAGGACGGGUCCGACGGGUGAGGGACGAAAGCCAGGGGAGCAAACCGGAUUAGAUACCCGUGUAGU